rnacentral:lncRNA from 1 species
UACAGUGUUUGGUUUUUCAUUCCUGAGUUACUUCACCUAGAACAAUGGCCUCCAGCUCCAUCCAAGUUGCUGCAGAAGACAUUUCAUUCCUUUUAUGGCUGAGUAGUAUUCCAUGUCCAGUGAUUCAAGUUUGACACACCACACCACGGUGGAUGUGCCUUGUCAUGACACAUCUUCUCAGCAGCACUAGAAGAUACAUCCAAAGUCCUGUGAGCAAGGACACAGCGAGAAGAUGGCUGUCUACAAGCCAGGAAGAGAGUCCUCACCAGAACCAAACCCUGCUGGACUUUGAUCUUGGACUUCCCAGCCUCUAAAACUGUGAAGACAUAAAUUUCUGUUGUUAAACCCACACAGGUCUGUGGUAUCUGUUUAUUAUGGCAGCCCAGUAAGACUAAGACAGGCCAUCACAAGACAUGAAUGUUUUGGACCUUCUCUUGGGCCCUAGUAAACAGAAAUCAGGCUAUUAAACUAAUCCACGUUCUAAACUGUUAUUGCUACUGGAAAAUGGUCCCGAUCCAGACCCCAAAAGAGGAUUCU